rnacentral:rRNA from 1 species
UACGUAGGGCGCAAGCGUUGUCCGGAAUUAUUGGGCGUAAAGAGCUCGUAGGCGGCCUGUCGCGUCUGCUGUGAAAUCCCGGGGCUUAACCCCGGGCGUGCAGUGGAUACGGGCUGGCUGGAGGCAGGCAGGGGAGAACGGAAUUCCCGGUGUAGCGGUGAAAUGCGCAGAUAUCAGGAGGAACACCGGUGGCGAAGGCGGGUCUCUGGGCCGAUAUCGACGCUGAGGAGCGAAAGCGUGGGGAGCGAACAGG